GACGAACGCUGGCGGCGUGCUUAACACAUGCAAGUCGAACGGAAAGGCCCCUUUGGGGGUACUCGAGUGGCGAACGGGUGAGUAACACGUGAGUAACCUGCCCUUGACUUCGGGAUAACUUCAGGAAACUGGGGCUAAUACCGGAUAGGAAUCCUUGCUGCAUGGUGGGGGUUGGAAAGCUUCGGCGGUUUUGGAUGGACUCGCGGCCUAUCAGCUUGUUGGUGGGGUAGUGGCUUACCAAGGCUUUGACGGGUAGCCGGCCUGAGAGGGCGACCGGCAACAUUGGGACUGGGAAACGGGCCAGACUCCUACGGGAGGCAGCAGUGGGGAAUAUUGCACAAUGGGCGGAAGCCUGAUGCAGCAACGCCGCGUGCGGGAUGACGGCCUUCGGGUUGUAAACCGCUUUCAGCAGGGGCGAAGCUUGUGGUGACGGUACCUGCAGAAGAAGCACCGGCUAACUACGUG
rnacentral:rRNA from 1 species